CGGGACACGUGGUAUCCUGUCUGAAUAUGGGGGGACCAUCCUCCAAGGCUAAAUACUCCUGACUGACCGAUAGUGAACCAGUACCGUGAGGGAAAGGCGAAAAGAACCCCGGCGAGGGGAGUGAAAAAGAACCUGAAACCGUGUACGUACAAGCAGUGGGAGCACGCUUAGGCGUGUGACUGCGUACCUUUUGUAUAAUGGGUCAGCGACUUAUAUUCUGUAGCAAGGUUAACCGAAUAGGGGAGCCGAAGGGAAACCGAGUCUUAACUGGGCGUUAAGUUGCAGGGUAUAGACCCGAAACCCGGUGAUCUAGCCAUGGGCAGGUUGAAGGUUGGGUAACACUAACUGGAGGACCGAACCGACUAAUGUUGAAAAAUUAGCGGAUGACUUGUGGCUGGGGGUGAAAGGCCAAUCAAACCGGGAGAUAGCUGGUUCUCCCCGAAAGCUAUUUAGGUAGCGCCUCGUGAAUUCAUCUCCGGGGGUAGAGCACUGUUUCGGCAAGGGGGUCAUCCCGACUUACCAACCCGAUGCAAACUGCGAAUACCGGAGAAUGUUAUCACGGGAGACACACGGCGGGUGCUAACGUCCGUCGUGAAGAGGGAAACAACCCAGACCGCCAGCUAAGGUCCCAAAGUCAUGGUUAAGUGGGAAACGAUGUGGGAAGGCCCAGACAGCCAGGAUGUUGGCUUAGAAGCAGCCAUCAUUUAAAGAAAGCGUAAUAGCUCACUGGUCGAGUCGGCCUGCGCGGAAGAUGUAACGGGGCUAAACCAUGCACCGAAGCUGCGGCAGCGACGCUGAUGCGUUGUUGGGUAGGGGAGCGUUCUGUAAGCCUGUGAAGGUGUGCUGUGAGGCAUGCUGGAGGUAUCAGAAGUGCGAAUGCUGACAUAAGUAACGAUAAAGCGGGUGAAAAGCCCGCUCGCCGGAAGACCAAGGGUUCCUGUCCAACGUUAAUCGGGGCAGGGUGAGUCGACCCCUAAGGCGAGGCCGAAAGGCGUAGUCGAUGGGAAACAGGUUAAUAUUCCUGUACUUGGUGUUACUGCGAAGGGGGGACGGAGAAGGCUAUGUUGGCCGGGCGACGGUUGUCCCGGUUUAAGCGUGUAGGCUGGUUUUCCAGGCAAAUCCGGAAAAUCAAGGCUGAGGCGUGAUGACGAGGCACUACGGUGCUGAAGCAACAAAUGCCCUGCUUCCAGGAAAAGCCUCUAAGCAUCAGGUAACAUCAAAUCGUACCCCAAACCGACACAGGUGGUCAGGUAGAGAAUACCAAGGCGCUUGAGAGAACUCGGGUGAAGGAACUAGGCAAAAUGGUGCCGUAACUUCGGGAGAAGGCACGCUGAUAUGUAGGUGAAGCGACUUGCUCGUGGAGCUGAAAUCAGUCGAAGAUACCAGCUGGCUGCAACUGUUUAUUAAAAACACAGCACUGUGCAAACACGAAAGUGGACGUAUACGGUGUGACGCCUGCCCGGUGCCGGAAGGUUAAUUGAUGGGGUCAGCGCAAGCGAAGCUCUUGAUCGAAGCCCCGGUAAACGGCGGCCGUAACUAUAACGGUCCUAAGGUAGCGAAAUUCCUUGUCGGGUAAGUUCCGACCUGCACGAAUGGCGUAAUGAUGGCCAGGCUGUCUCCACCCGAGACUCAGUGAAAUUGAACUCGCUGUGAAGAUGCAGUGUACCCGCGGCAAGACGGAAAGACCCCGUGAACCUUUACUAUAGCUUGACACUGAACAUUGAGCCUUGAUGUGUAGGAUAGGUGGGAGGCUUUGAAGUGUGGACGCCAGUCUGCAUGGAGCCGGCCUUGAAAUACCACCCUUUAAUGUUUGAUGUUCUAACGUUGACCCGUGAUCCGGGUUGCGGACAGUGUCUGGUGGGUAGUUUGACUGGGGCGGUCUCCUCCUAAAGAGUAACGGAGGAGCACGAAGGUUGGCUAAUCCUGGUCGGACAUCAGGAGGUUAGUGCAAUGGCAUAAGCCAGCUUGACUGCGAGCGUGACGGCGCGAGCAGGUGCGAAAGCAGGUCAUAGUGAUCCGGUGGUUCUGAAUGGAAGGGCCAUCGCUCAACGGAUAAAAGGUACUCCGGGGAUAACAGGCUGAUACCGCCCAAGAGUUCAUAUCGACGGCGGUGUUUGGCACCUCGAUGUCGGCUCAUCACAUCCUGGGGCUGAAGUAGGUCCCAAGGGUAUGGCUGUUCGCCAUUUAAAGUGGUACGCGAGCUGGGUUUAGAACGUCGUGAGACAGUUCGGUCCCUAUCUGCCGUGGGCGCUGGAGAACUGAGGGGGGCUGCUCCUAGUACGAGAGGACCGGAGUGGACGCAUCACUGGUGUUCGGGUUGUCAUGCCAAUGGCACUGCCAGGUAGCUAAAUGCGGAAGAGAUAAGUGCUGAAAGCAUCUAAGCACGAAACUUGCCCCGAGAUGAGUUCUCCCUGACUCCUUGAGAGUCCUGAAGGAACGUUGAAGACGACGACGUUGAUAGGCCGGGUGUGUAAGCGCAGCGAUGCGUUGAGCUAACCGGUACUAAUGAACCGUGAGGCUUAACCUU
rnacentral:rRNA from 1 species